rnacentral:tRNA from 1 species
GGCCGUGUGGCGCAAUGGUAGCGCAGCUGACUUUUAAUCAGUUGGUUGUAGGUUCGAAUCCUACCACGGUCAUCA